CACUCCUGCGGGAGGCAGCAGUGGGGAAUUUUGGACAAUGGGCGAAAGCCUGAUCCAGCAAUGCCGCGUGAGUGAAGAAGGCCUUCGGGUUGUAAAGCUCUUUUGUCAGGGAAGAAACGGUGAAAGCUAAUAUCUUUUGCUAAUGACGGUACCUGAAGAAUAAGCACCGGCUAACUACGUGCCAGCAGCCGCGGUAAUACGUAGGGUGCAAGCGUUAAUCGGAAUUACUGGGCGUAAAGCGUGCGCAGGCGGUUUUGUAAGUCUGAUGUGAAAUCCCCGGGCUCAACCUGGGAAUUGCAUUGGAGACUGCAAGGCUAGAAUCUGGCAGAGGGGGGUAGAAUUCCACGUGUAGCAGUGAAAUGCGUAGAUAUGUGGAGGAACACCGAUGGCGAAGGCAGCCCCCUGGGUCAAGAUUGACGCUCAUGCACGAAAGCGUGGGGAGCAAACAGGAUUAGAUACCCGAGUAGUCCCAUG
rnacentral:rRNA from 1 species